GACGAACGCUGGCGGCGUGCUUAACACAUGCAAGUCGAACGGAAAGGCCCUGCUUUUGUGGGGUGCUCGAGUGGCGAACGGGUGUGUAACACGUGAGUAACCUGCCCUUGACUUUGGUAUAACUUCAGGAAACUGGGGCUAAUACCGGAUAGGAGCUCCUGCUGCUUGGUGGGGGUUGGAAAGUUUCGGCGGUUGGGGAUGGACUCGCGGCUUAUCAGCUUGUUGGUGGGGUAGUGGCUUACCAAGGCUUUGACGGGUAGCCGGCCUGAGAGGGUGACCGGCCACAUUGGGACUGAGAUACGGCCCAGACUCCUACGGGAGGCAGCAGUGGGGAAUAUUGCACAAUGGGCGGAAGCCUGAUGCAGCAACGCCGCGUGCGGGAUGACGGCCUUCGGGUUGUAAACCGCUUUCGCCUGUGACGAAGCGUGAGUGACGGUAAUGGGUAAAGAAGCACCGGCUAACUACGUG
rnacentral:rRNA from 1 species